rnacentral:rRNA from 1 species
GGACUACCGGGGUAUCUAAUCCUGUUUGCUCCCCUAGCUUUCGUCAUUCAGCGUCAGUUGUGGUCCAGCGCGCCGCUUUCGCCACGGGUGUUCCUGCAGAUAUCUACGCAUUUCACCGCUACACCUGCAAUUCCACGCGCCUCUCCCACACUCAAGCACAGCAGUUUCGGAAGCAGCCUAUGAGUUGAGCCCAUAGAUUUCACUCCCGACUUGCCACACCGCCUACUGACCCUUUACACCCAGUAAUUCCGAACAACGCUGGCCCCCUACGUCUUACCGCGGCUGCUGGCAC